GAUGAACGCUGGCGGCGUGCCUAAUACAUGCAAGUCGAGCGAACAGACGAGGAGCUUGCUCCUCUGACGUUAGCGGCGGACGGGUGAGUAACACGUGGAUAACCUACCUUUAAGACUGGGAUAACUUCGGGAAACCGGAGCUAAUACCGGAUAAUAUAUUGAACCGCAUGGUUCAAUAGUGAAAGACGGUUUUGCUGUCACUUAUAGAUGGAUCCGCGCCGCAUUAGCUAGUUGGUAAGGUAACGGCUUACCAAGGCGACGAUGCGUAGCCGACCUGAGAGGGUGAUCGGCCACACUGGAACUGAGACACGGUCCAGACUCCUACGGGAGGCAGCAGUAGGGAAUCUUCCGCAAUGGGCGAAAGCCUGACGGAGCAACGCCGCGUGAGUGAUGAAGGUCUUCGGAUCGUAAAACUCUGUUAUUAGGGAAGAACAAAUGUGUAAGUAACUAUGCACGUCUUGACGGUACCUAACCAGAAAGCCACGGCUAACUACGUG
rnacentral:rRNA from 1 species